rnacentral:lncRNA from 1 species
AUGAACCUUGGCCAAUUAUUCCUUGGUACUCUGAACAGCAGCAUUAUCAGGAACCAGACUGACUUUCUGUCUAAUGACCUCAGACCAAGAGGUGAUAUUUGGACUAAUCUGAAUGGGAUGUUCUGCGGGCGAAGAUAUGAUGAUGAUGGAGGUGUUUUAAAAAGAGAACUCUGGCCGUGAGCUUUGAUUUGAUGCUCUACUGAAGUAAAUGCCUUGCUCCAACAAGUGGAAAAUAUUUUUAUUGUCUUCAGCUAACAAUAAUUGUAAAAAAAAAAAUGCAACUGCAAGUGAAUGAAUAUUUACAGUGAUGUCAAUUUAACAAGUGCACUCUUUUUUUUUCUUUUAUUUUUUUUUCUUUCUGAGGCAAUUAAAAUAUUUCAUCUUACUUAUUCACAUACCCAUUAUGUGAAUAAUUACCCCAGGCAGCUUCUUAAGAAAGAAAGAAAAAGAUAUUAUUGAACAACUGCCAAAAAUGUAGAAACGUAGCCAACUCUAACACUUUCUUAAGGAUUAAAAGGUCAAACCUGAUUUAGUAGCACAUUGCUUCAUUUCACAAGGAUUUAUAUUGAUUCACUUAAGGACAGGACAGAAAUAGACCAUAACAAUUGCUUAUAUCAAAAGAAAAGUACAUUCCAAAGUGGAGAGGGCCAGAGGUAUAAAGUGUAGAGGACCUUUAACACCUAUUACUGUUCCUAAGCUUUCUCACACAUCACAGCUGAACGCUUGGGAAAGGUGAUCUUCACAGCAAAAGAAAUGUCAAGAAUGUUUUGAAGGAAGAAUCAAGGUAUUUGAAUAGGGAUAUGGAAUAUCUUUUACCUUCAAGCUACUUUGUAGAUAUUCAGUUUCCCUUAACUUCUGAAAUCUUUAGGCCCUCUUUACUAAGUUAAUAGUGGCUCCACUGAGACUCUAAGGGUUUGAGGUGUUUCUCAUUCUGUUCUAUUUAUUCUGUUGUAAAUGCUUUAUUCAAGGAGUUAUUCAUUGUGUAACUAUUUUGUGACCCGACCACAUUUUUUCCUUAAGAACAGAAGGUCUUUUUAUUCUGUUGGUAUAAAAUUCUGCAAAUUAAAGG